GCAUACACAAAGUGUGUGGUGAGUUCCCUGUAGAUAUAAGAUGCUAUAAAUGUUCUAUUUCCUAUGUGACGUCUCAGUGAUCUGCACCUGACACUGCUCCUACUGUCAGUAUGGGGAGAUACUUACUGCUUGUCCUCUCCGCUCUCUUCUCUCUCUCUGUUCCAGGUUCUUAUGGGCAGAUUGUACUGACUCAGUCUCCAGAUUAUGUCUCUGUGUCACCAGGAGAAACUGUCACCAUCACAUGUAAAGCCAGUAGCAGUGUUACUGACGAUGAUGGAGACAGUGCUAUAGCCUGGUACCAACAGAAAUCAGGGCAGGCACCAAAGCUGCUGAUCUAUGAGGCAAGUACCCGACACACAGGGACCCCAGAGCGGAUCAGCGGCAGUGGGUCUGGAACUGAUUUCACUCUUACAAUCAGCAGAAUGGAAGCAGAAGAUGCAGCAGAUUAUUACUGUCAGCAGGGUCUAUAUUCCCCUCUCACACAGUGAUACAGAGCUGAACAAAAACCUCCCUGUUACUGUGCCAGUGAGUUAUUUACAUGAUUCUCUAUAAAGCUACAGAGCAUGACAUGAUAUUCUCAGUAGGGGAAGACUUGACACAGACAUAUCACAGCUGUACAGAGAUUGGAGAUCACAGUUCUGGGGAGGAUAAACUAUUGUGACACCAAUUCUGCUUAUUCUGAGAAAUACAAAAAAAUAUAUAAAACACCAACAUUC